GUAAAAUGGAUUUUAAGGUAUCUUCACGGUACUACUUCUACGAGGUUUUGUUUUGGAGGAGAUAAGCCUACUCUAGUGGGUUACUCUGACUCUGAUAUGGAUGAAGACAUUGAUUUUAGAAAGUCCACUUCGGGCUACAUGAUUAAAUUUGUAGGGGAAGUUGUGGUUUGACCGUCUAUAUUGCAAAAGUUUAUAGUAUUGUCUACUACAGAGGUCGAGUUCAUUGCAAUUACCGAAACAUGCAAAAAGUUAUUAUGGUUGAAGAAAAUUUUGCAGAGCUUGGUUUUGUUAUCCUUCAUCGGUGCCUUUCCUUUGUUAUUGUGCUCCUUUUACCUUUGUUAUUACCUUUUUUAUUCAUAUCAGAUUCAUGCAUGUCAUUUUCGAUGUAAGUACCUUUCAGAUUCUUAACCAUCGCCUUCAGAUGGGUCGUCGUAUCUAUUUACAUAUAGUGAUCUCGACUACCUAGAGUCAAAUCCUUUGAUAUUUGGUUGUUGUGGUGAUUGUUCUCCCUAUUGAUGCUCCAUUUUCUGUCAAAUCUACUAUUCUUGUCAGAUGUUGGGGCUUCUUCUGUCACUCUUCUGAUGGGGAAAUUUCUUAUGGUACUUACCUGUUGCUUGUGCUCUCUCAAUACUCAUGUUCAUCUCUUGGCUAUUCUCCACCUCAGGUACCCGUCUAUGAGGCCUCAUCUCUGUUUGUUUAUCAAUUAUAAAAUCUUGACCUCUCUUAUGUUUGAUACUUUUUCCGUUGUUGUUUGCGAGUUGGGGACCUCUAUUUUCCAAGUUGAUGUGAUUAAUACCUUCAUUCUCAGCAGGGAUGUUCUCGUUCUUCUGUAAAGGGAUUUUCUCGCUUUGUAUUUUCUGAUGGUCGACUCGUGGUAUGAGUUACAACAGAUGUCCUAGACAUUAUAUUACCUAAUAUCACAAUCUCUUGGAUCACCUUCAACCAGUAGAUUUCAUUUGACGUCCAUAUCUAAACUUGGAUCAUGACCAUGAAAUAAACGAACAAGAUGCAGUCGUUUGGAUUGCAUGCACAUCGAUCAUAAGGUUCACCACUAUGGAGAUGCACCACAAUGACCGUGUUAAAUUGCAAUUCGGUAUGCUUCAACAUAUCCCAAAUCCCUUGAUAAACCUCAGAGAAUGACAUUUAUAAAGAGUUAACGACUAAUGGAACUUUAACCCUUGGCAACGCUUCACUAGAUGCGAGUGUCGAAAAUAGAAGCACCAACAAGACCAUGUCUUAAGUGACAUUGUGAUGCCAACCGAUGAAAAACAACUCAUAAUUAUAUGGCUUGUGAUGCAUAAUUAUAACUUACUCAGCU